AGUACCUUUUGUAUUAGGGUUGAUUUAUGUGGUUUUGCUUUUGUUAUUUCUCGAUGAGUAUCGGGCUAUUUUUCUUUGGUUUAUUCUCGUUGUAUAGAGUUGAAUAGAGGAUCAUAGGUAUGAAAUAUUAUUCAAGUUGCUUUUUAUCUGGUUCUUCAAGAAAUUUAAUAGUCGGUAAUAUUAUUAGGACGAUAGACAGGGAUUAGCUUGUUUAUUUUUUAUAUUUGAUCUAGGUUGAAGUUUGUUUGUUAAGUUGAUAGUGCUUAUUUUAAUGGAGUUAUUAUUGAGCAGGUUGAUUUUAUUAUUUUUUGUUUUUAUUUUUGUAUUGAGGUUAUUUUAUUAAUUUUUAGUGUUUUGUAACAAUGAUUGUAUUAGUAAUAAUUUUUUUUAUUUUUUUAGCUUUUCUGGUUUUGUUGUUAGUUUAGUGGUAUUUUAAAUUAGAAUUGAUGAAUUAGGCAAUAAGAACUUCUGACUGUUUAGCAAAGACAUUGUUUUUUGUUGUGGUAAAAAAUAAGUUCUGUCCACUGCUAUUAGGUGAAGGGCUGCAGUAUUUUGACUGUAUGAAGGUAGCAUAAUCAUUAGCUUUUUAAUUAGAAGCUGGUAUGAAGGUGAAACAGGGGUUUGCUGUGUUUUUUCUAUUUAUUGAAUUUUAUUUUCAUGUGAAAAAUCAUGAUUGAUUUAAUGGGACAAGAAGACCCUAAUAAGUUUUAUUUUUUUUCUUAAUGCGUGUAUAGUUUUUGAUUUAUGCAAUUUAUUUGGGGGAGUUUGGCUGGGGCGGCAGUUUAUUUGACAUAGAUUAAUUUUUAACUUUUUAUGGCGAUUAUUUGGACCUAGUUUGUUUAGAUUAGAGUUAAAUUACUGUAGGGAUAACAGCGUGAUUUUUUUUGAGAGUUCU
rnacentral:rRNA from 1 species